CCGCCAAUCAUGCGCAGGCAGGGUACUAGUAGGAACUAGAAUAUGAUUUUGUUGCAAAACGUGAAAACAAUAGAUCUCGAUCUGCAGCAAGUGGUUUGGUGCGAUUUAAUUGAAUACAUUAUACCCACAAGCAAAAAUUUGAACACACUGUUUUUUGGGGGGGUUUUCUACAACAACCUGUUAAAAAAGUGACAAGAAUUUGCCAAUAGUCUCCUGAUCGUGUCCAAUGAUCAGACCGUGUGGUUACUUGAAAUCAGCGCGGGAAGAUUUGCAGCCAUGGCGGAGGCAGUCGAAAUACGUAAUUUUAACGAACUGAGGCGAAAAUACAUUCAUGACAUUGCACAGAAUCUGGGCGAGGCACACACCCUAAUGAUCACACUGAACAGUAACCUACAAGCUUGGACUGAGAGGACGGGAGAGUUGGAACAUUUAGCCAAGGUGUGGGCUACGUUUCAGAACAGGCUGGCAUGCGUCUCGGCAGUAUUGGUGGACGUUGAGGAAGACCGGACAGAGAUUGGGACAGAGAGUGAGAGCUCACCACCGAGCUCCGAAGCACAGACUGGAGUCUCCUCUGUUGUCACAACAUCUUAACAUUUGCAAUAUUGUGAUUAAACGAUUUAUGACAACUUUUGAGAUUUGUGGGAAAAGGUUCAGUGUUACUGGGGCCCCACAAUAACCAAAGCAAGUUUCCUGUGGAGAAUCCACCUCUGACACCCAGUCUUCCUACAAGUUCUACUUUCCAUUACAACCCACCACCUGUCAUCUGCUGCUCACCUCCCUUCCUCUAACCUCUCAUCAUAAAUAAUUUAAUACACAUUUUUGUGUAAUAUGUGAAAUCCAACAAUUAUUAUUCUAAAACAGAAUUGAAGCUUAAACCAUUGGCCCAUAGGGGUCCAACGAUAAGUCAAAACAGAUUUUGGCUUCAGAAUUAAUGACUUUGCCCAUGGUGUUAUAGCUUAUGUAUACAAGAAAGAACUUAAUAGAAUUAAUAGAAUAAUUGUAACAUAUCAGUUUCAAUAUGAAGAUAACCUACAAUAAAAAUUGAAUGGUUAUGACAUA